rnacentral:rRNA from 1 species
AACCCGUUAGGUGGAUGACUCGGCUCAAGGCACUGAGGAAGGGCGUGGCAAGCUACGAAAUGUCCUGGCGAGGCGCACGCAGCCUUUGAACCAGGAGUGCCUGAAUGGGACUUCCUGCCUUUUGGCAUCCCGAGAGGGAGAGGAACCUGGGGAAGUGAAGCGUCACAGUACCCAGAGGAAAAGAAAUCAAAAGAGAUGCCGUAAGUAUCAGCGAGAGAAAGCGGCACAAGGCAAACUGAAUCCUCAGUGGAAACACUGUGGAGAUGUGGUGUUUGGACUUGCUUUUAGUCCUAUCCUCAUGACCUAAAGUCUUCUGAAAUGAAGCACCAUAGAGGGUGACAGUCCCGUAGGGGAAGUGAGGAGGAUGUGCAAGUAUCCAGAGUAGCGUACAUUGGAUAUUGUGCGCGAAUGUGGGAGGCACCAACUUCCAACCUUAAAUAUGUCUUGAGUCCGAUAGCGUACAGUACUAUGAAGGAACGUUGAAAAGAACCCGUAACAGGGAGUUAAAAGAGCCUGAAACCUAAUGGGGAUUGAGAGUUAGGGCACUUCGGUGUUCUAACGUACGUUUUGAAUAACGGGCCAGGGAGUGUGCUUGAGUGGCGAGGAUAAGGGUUUUAAUGCCCUGUUCCAGAGGGAAACCGAUUUCCCGCAGCUCGCGAGGGGAGAGGUGUUAAUGCGCCUUUAGUCACUCGGGUACGACCCGAAACCGGACGAUCUAGCCCUGGGUAAGGUGAAGCGGAGUUUUUGCUUCGUGGAGGCCUGAAGAGGUGCUACGGGCAUGUGUUCUUCUAACCUUGGGCUAGGGGUGAAAAGCCAAUCGAGUUCGGUGAUAGCUGGUUCCUACCGAAAUAGGCCUAAGUCUAGUCUCGGCAGAGGCAGCUGGAGAGGUAGAGCUACGGAUUGAGGAGCUCGGGGGAGAAAUCCUUCACUUCUCUGUCCAACUCCAAAUUUUCCAGCGCUGUAGAAGCCGGGAAACGGGGGCGCUGGGGUAAGCUUGCGUCCCAAGAGGGGAACAACCCCUACUGCAGUUAAGGUCCCUAAAUAUUGGCUGAGUGUUAACGGGCGAAAGGUGUUCAUCACCACAGACAGAGGGGAGGUUAGCUUAGAAGCAGCUAUCCUUUAAAGAAAGCGUAACAGCUCACCCUUCAAGGUGAUGUGCCCUGAAAAUGGACGGGGCUAAGCCAGUUACCGAUACUGCAGCCCUGAAAGUGUAAUGCUUUCAGUGGGGUAGGUAGGCGUCCUGUUAGGGCAGAAGCGCGGGCGUAAGUCUGUGUGGACCUUGCAGGAAUGAGAAUCCUGGUGGUAGUAGGAUCUAUCUAGAGUGAGAAUCUCUAAUACCGAAAGGGCAAGGGUUUCUCAGCAAUGUAAAUCAGCUGAGAGUAAGUUAGUCCUAACCGGCAUCCUAAUUGGACUGUCGGGAAAGGGAAAAAGGUUAAGAUUCCUUUACUAUUCAGGUACACGCGGCAACGCAAGCGCAUUUUCUGACGCUUCGGGCUAGGCUGACAGAGGGUUCCAACUUUGCUAAUUGGUGCAAUUCAAUGGAGUGCCGUAAUGGCGAGAAGUUGAAUAACACCAAGAAUGGCCGGCCGUAUGGUCGGUUCAGCUGAUGCCUGGAGCCCGUGAAAAAGGAAAUGCGAAGGAUCCUGAAUAACUAUACCCAGAACCAGCACUGGUGCCCUAGGUGAGAAGCCUCAGGUAUGAGGGAUUAAUCCAGUUUAGGGAAAUCGACAAGUUGGCCCCGUUCCUUCGGCAUAAGGGGUCCCUGCGAUCGUAGCUGCAUGGUUGCGAUUACAGGGUGCAAUAACUAGGCGGAUCCGACUGUUUAACAAAAACUUAGCUUCCUGCAAGCCAGUAAUGGUGUGUAUAGGAGGCGAUGCCUGCCCAGUGCCAGUACUUCAAACUCCUUUCCAAGGGAGCUAAGAGCUGGUAAACGGCGGGAAUAACUAUAAUUCUCUUAAGGUAGCGAAAUGCCUUGUCGUUUAAUUGACGACCUGCAUGAAUGGCAUAACGAGAUCCGCGUUGUCCCAAACUGGAAUCCCCCGAACACACCAUUCUGAGUGUGAAGGCCAGAGAUCUCCAGUGGGAAGCGAAGACCCCGUAGAACUUUACUGCAGCUAGUUGUUGUGAUGUGAGUUUUGCUGUGCAGUGUAGGUGGGAGUUGUUAGGUUUAGGUCGCCAGGCCUGAAAUAGACGCCGAUGAGACACCACCCUGCAAAAUUUAUGUCACUCACUUGGUGUUUGCCAAGGACAGCAGUUGGUAGGCAGUUUGACUGGGGCGGUACCCUGCUGAAAAGAUAUCAGUAGGGCCCUAAGGUUGGCUCAUCCCAUUCAGAAAUUGGGAGUAGAGUGCAAGAGCAAAAGCCAGCCUGACUGUGUCCUGAACAGCAAGGGACGCAGAGACGAAAGUCGGGUCUAGCGAACCCCUAUGUCCUCCUUGGUGGGGGCUAGGUAUGACAGAAAAGCUAUCUCGGGGAUAAUUGAGUUGUCACGCCCAAGAGUUCACAUCGACGGCGUGGCUUGCUACUUCGAUGUCGGCUCAUCCUAUCCCGGCUGUGCAGAAGCAGCCAAGGGUGGGGGUGUUCACCCAUUAAAAGGGUUCGUGAGCUGGGUUAAGAACGUCGUGAGACAGUUUGUAUGAUAU